rnacentral:lncRNA from 1 species
AAUUAACAACUUGUGCAAUUGUGCGUUAAAUAUCAUGCCAGUGCUCGGUCGGAACGGAAAUUUUCGUACGUACGUAACUUAAAAAUAAUAAUAAGGCAACAAUUAUUAUGAAAAUAUAUUUGAUAUUUGUUAUUUCAAUCUGUUCUCUCGGCAUGGCUAACUCGAACAGUAAAUCAAUAACACAGAGUUUAAAAUCAAAUUGGACCACGCGUUGGAACGUUGGGAAUAAAUCAACGAUACAUACUUGCGGUUUGCUUUCGAACGAAUACGCGAUUUGAAAUCGUAUUGAAUUUUGAAUAUUUUAUAAAGUGUAAGUGAUCGUCGUCGGUAAAAUACAUAUUUUUCAACACAAAAAAAAAAAAAUCUAAUCGAUCAAACUGAUAAACCUUUUGAUGGUACCUAUACUAUAAUGUUGUUUAACUGUCAAUACUCAUGUUUAACUCUUUAACUAAUUACGAAUGUAUAAAUCGACUGCCCCAAAUCAAGGUAGUAAUUCGAGUUAUUACUGGUUAUCUAGUAGUGGAAUGUUUUCUCUAUCGCCCACGAAAGAGGUUGUAUCUCAAAACAUCCACAGAGAUUAGAUAUUUAAUAAUUGCAUGAUUUACCGCAACCUUGAUUCCAUCGAAAACAGCUGUAUACGUUUGUUUCAACGACUAAUAUUUUUAUUAAAAAUGAGAUAAUACCUUUUUCGUUGGGGCAGUCGAAAUUUAAACUUUUAAUUUUGAUAUACACCAAUGCUCGUUUUUUGUUAAUUUUUUUUUCUCGAUUCACAUUUUUAAUUCAGUUUUAAAAUAUUUCAACCAAAAAUGUGUACGUUUUGUUAACGUAUUAGUAUAGAAAAUACAAGUAGGUGUAAUAGCAUAUUAAUAACGUUCGUGUAUUACACACAAUUACCGUGAUUCAUUUUAAACCGGCGUGGUGUAAAAUGUUGUUCAUAUAACGAGCGCCGACUGUCAAUAUUUCGAAAUUAUUUCAAUUAAUUAUAUUGCUAUGUAUAGUCACUAAAAGUCGAUCGAGUAAAUUUUGUUCUUGUAGGUAAUUAUACGAGUAUAAUUCUAAUUUUACAUUUAAUUGUAUGUAAUUUAUUGUGCGCCUGUGUUCAGGAUUAAAAACGCAAAUUAUCGUUAUAUAGUAUAUUAUAUUUUAUAGAAACAAGUUAUGUCCUUUUAACUUUAGAAAAAUGUGCAAUAUUCAAUGGUUCGUUCGCCACACUAUUGUGAAAUUCAUAUAAAUCCUAUAUCCGUUAAGUUCCAGUGUUGACGUGGAUUCGGAAGAACGGAACAACAGGCAGGAACGCCAAAUAUCCAGUUUGAUCGGACUGAAAAACUCAGUACAGCUGACAGGGAUAAUAAUUGAAGAAUUGGACGUGUAUCAGGAUGGUCUUGAUGGUCGACGACCCCGAGAAGGAGAAAAACAAACACAGAAAGUUCCAAUAUUGUUUUUGAGAAUUGGUUUUUUUUUUUUUAACAAUUUUUAUUUUGAAUACAUUUUUGUUUACAUUUUUUAGCUCUUUGUAUUUCCGAAACAAAUUUAAAACAUAAAAAAAAAAACACUGUUGUGGAUUAGGUGCCUAAACGUACAAUACAGAACAAACCAGGAAUUGUCUCGUUAAUCCUUACAAAAUUUCAGGACUUUCAAAAAUAUCGUAAAUCACGACAUUUGGACCAAUAUUUACGUUAUAAUUUUGGAAACUCGGAUUAAAUGUCCAAUAAGUCAAGCAUUGUGUGAUUUCUACCAUAUCGCGAAAUAAUAGGCGCGGGCGCGUGCGCUAAAAUGGAGAUUAAGAUUUUGCUUACGAUACUUUUGUUCAGAAAGUCAAUUGGAGUUUUUUGAUUAAGUGUAUUUAAUUGAAAAAUAUAAAUUGUGCUCCCGUUAAAAUUAAAUAAGAUUAUGUAAGAUAACUAAUUGAUUGCGUG